rnacentral:rRNA from 1 species
UACGGAGGAUGCAAGCGUUAUCCGGAUUCAUUGGGUUUAAAGGGUGCGCAGGCGGAUUAUUAAGUCAGUGGUGAAAUCUAACGGCUCAACUGUUAAGCUGCCAUUGAUACUGAUAGUCUAGAGUAUAGUUGAAGUGGGCGGAAUGUGUCAUGUAGCGGUGAAAUGCUUAGAUAUGACACAGAACACCGAUCGCGAAGGCAGCUCACUAAGCUAAAACUGACGCUCAUGCACGAAAGCGUGGGGAUCAAACAGG